rnacentral:sRNA from 1 species
AAGAAGGCUUCCUGAAAGCACUGCUGCUUGGCAUACUUCUUGUAGUAACCCUGCCACUGUCUGCUUUUUGAAGCUAAACUAGAUCCAAGAAAUUGACAUAAAUAAUGAGCAAGAAAAUGAUUAUGAAGAGGAUAUUGCCUCAUUUUCCACAUAUAUUCCUUCCACACAGAACCCAGCAUUUCAUCAUGAAAGCAGGAAGACAUACGGGCAGAGUGCAGAUGGAGCUGAGGCAAAUGAAAUGGAAGGGGAAGGAAAACAGAAUGGAUCAGGCAUGGAGACCAAACACAGCCCACUAGAGGUUGGCAGUGAGAGUUCUGAGGACCAGUAUGAUGACUUGUAUGUGUUCAUUCCUGGUGCUGAUCCAGAAAAUAAUUCACAAGAGCCACUCAUGAGCAGCAGACCUCCUCUCCCCCCGCCGCGACCUGUAGCUAAUGCCUUCCAACUGGAAAGACCUCACUUCACCUUACCAGGGACAACGGUGGAAGGCCAAAUGGAAAGAAGUCAAAACUGGGGUGAUCCUGGUGUUAGACAAGAAACAGGAGAUGAACCCAAAGGAGAAAAAGAGAAGAAAGAAGACGAAAAAGAG